ACUGCCAUCACCUUACUGGGAGACCGAAGCGGUGAGAUGCAGACCCGUGGGUGCCUUGCCAGGUCUGCUGUUUUCUGGUUGGAGUAUUUGUUAUAGUCUGCAUUAUAAGAAAACCCACACAUGAAGAUAGGCAGAAGGAAGAAAAUGGAUAACAAACUGCAAGCACGGCCAUUAAUUCUUCUGGGGAAAGGAUGCCCUGACUUCUUCAAGCGUCCAGACCUGCUGCAGAAUAUGCAAGAUCUCCAUGUGCACGUUAAGAAAUAUUUCAUUUCAAACACAAGAUAAAUGCAGUGGGAGAGGAUCUUGACUUGCUUCAAGAAAUCAAAGCAAGCAUGAAGGGAAGAGAGUACAAUAAGACUUCCAGAUCAAAAGUGAACGGUGAUUCAGGAGGGCGCUCAAGCAC